rnacentral:rRNA from 1 species
UACGUAGGGGGCUAGCGUUGUCCGGAAUCAUUGGGCGUAAAGAGCGUGUAGGCGGUCCGGUAAGUCCGCUGUGAAAGUCGGGGGCUCAACCCUCGAAUGCCGGUGGAUACUGUCGGGCUAGAGUGCGGAAGAGGCGAGUGGAAUUCCUGGUGUAGCGGUGAAAGUGCGCAGAUAUCAGGGAGGAACACCUAUUGCGAAGGCAGCUCGCUGGGACGUAACUGACGCUGAGACGCGAAAGCGUGGGGAGCAAACAGG